UCCUCUGUAGUUCAGUCGGUAGAACGGCGGACUAUUAAUCCGUAUGUCACUGGUUCGAGUCCAGUCAGAGGAGCCA
rnacentral:tRNA from 2 species